rnacentral:tRNA from 1 species
GCCUCGGUGGUGAAAUGGUAGACGCGCUAGGUUCAAAACCUGGUGCCUAAA